rnacentral:rRNA from 1 species
UACGAACUGUGCGAACGUUAUUCGGAAUCACUGGGCUUACAGGGUGCGUAGGCGGCUUGUUAAGUAGGGUGUGAAAGCCCCCGGCUCAACCGGGGAAUGGCGCCCUAAACUGGCGAGCUAGAGUGAGAUAGGGGUGUGUGGAACUUCCGGUGGAGCGGUGAAAUGUGUUGAUAUCAGGAGGAACACCGGUGGUGUAGACGGCUCACUGGACCGUAACUGACGCUGAGACACGAAAGCGUGGGUAGCAAACAGG